AGCCAUCUAGGCAUAGUGGUUUGAGUAUUGGACUACAACUCUGGAGACCAGGGUUCAAAUCUCUGGUCAGUCA